rnacentral:rRNA from 1 species
UACGUAGGGGGCUAGCGUUGUCCGGAAUCAUUGGGCGUAAAGCGCGUGUAGGCGGUCCGGUAAGUCCGCUGUGAAAGUCGGGGGCUCAACCCUCGAAAGCCGGUGGAUACUGUCGGGCUAGAGUGCGGAAGAGGCGAGUGGAAUUCCUGGUGUAGCGGUGAAAUGCGCAGAUAUCAGGAGGAACACCAAUAGCGAAGGCAGCUCGCUGGGACGUUACUGACACUGAGGCGCGAAAGCGUGGGGAGCGAACAGG